rnacentral:rRNA from 1 species
UACAGAGGUCCCAAGCGUUGUUCGGAUUCACUGGGCGUAAAGGGUGCGUAGGUGGUGAGGUAAGUCGGAUGUGAAAUCUCCGAGCUCAACUCGGAAACUGCAUUGGAAACUACCUUGCUCGAGGGUUGGAGGGGGGACUGGAAUGCUUGGUGUAGCAGUGAAAUGCGUAGAUAUCAAGCGGAACACCAGUGGCGAAGGCGAGUCCCUGGACAACUCCUGACACUGAUGCACGAAAAGCCUAGGGGAGCAAACAGG